GCUUGGGCGAGAGUAGUACUAGGAUGGAUCCCAUCAGAACUCCGAAGUUAAGCGUGCUUGGGCGAGAGUAGUGCUAGGAUAGGUGACCUCCUGGGAAGUCCUCGUGUUGCAUUCC
rnacentral:rRNA from 1 species